GAAGCGACAUCUGUCACUCCAUAGAUCAUCAGGGUUGAUUCAGCUGACCUGGCAGGCUAGGCAGGUGUCCC